GAUCAUGGCUCAGGAUGAACGCUAGCUACAGGCUUAACACAUGCAAGUCGAGGGGCAGCAUGGUCUUAGCUUGCUAAGGCCGAUGGCGACCGGCGCACGGGUGAGUAACACGUAUCCAACCUGCCGUCUACUCUUGGACAGCCUUNUGAAAGGAAGAUUAAUACAAGAUGGCAUCAUGAGUCCGCAUGUUCACAUGAUUAAAGGUAUUCCGGUAGACGAUGGGAG
rnacentral:rRNA from 1 species